rnacentral:lncRNA from 1 species
AUGCCCAUGCCCGGGCCGUGCAGGGGCGGAGCGGCGCGGUCCAGCCGCGCACGGCUCCCGAGCCCAGGACGCCGCCGGUCCCGGUCCCGGUGCCGGUCCCUGCCCCGCCGCCCAGCCGCCGGGACCCCGCUCGCUCACCGGCCGCGGCCGCUCCCGCUGCUGCCGCUCUUCUGCCAGCCCUCGGAGCCGGUGUCCGCGUCCCUCGGCUGCGCAGGGCGAGGGGUGCGCGCCCCGUCCCGCCCGGCCGGCGCGGAGCCGGCAGCAGCCCUGCCCGGCACCCGGCGGAAGAGCUCGGCUCUGCCCGAGGGCUGGGCUGUCCCUCCUCGGCCCCAGUGCCGCUCGAGGGCGCUGGCAGCCCGCUCCCGUCCCGCUCCCGUCCCGUCCCGAGCUGAGCCGUCCCGAGCCGAGCCGUGCCGUGCAGCCCCGCCGGUGGCGGAGCGCGCCUGGCCGUGCCGAGCACUAAAUAGCCCGGGGGCGGGCCCGCCCAGCCCGGCCCGGCCCGGCCCAGCCCAGCAGGCGGCCAGGGGUCGCUGCCAGGACCCCCCCGUCGGCAGGGAGCGGUCGGGGCAGCCGCGGUGGCUGCGCUGGGCCGGGGCUGGGGACCGGCGGGCGGCAGCUCCAGUGCUGGGCGAGGAAGGUCCCCCCCCGGCGAGGAGGGAGCCGGCCGGCAGCGGGGAGUGCCGCAGUCCUACUGUCACGGCAGAGCGCCAGAAACGUCCCGAAGACCUUCACUGGAAGAAAGAUCUGGAUCUGCUCACUUAUCUGGCUAAUCAUUUCUCCAAUGAAAUGUAUAUUUGAAGUACUGAAUCAUAUGUGGAGAAUGUGACGGGGAGAUAUAAAAAGGAGAGAGAACUGGGAACUUCUUACACUGACAUCGUUGUUAUAAAUGAUGUAUUGUUGAGUCAUAUUACCUCAGAUGUAUCUUCUGUAGGUUAAUACUGGUAACUGAGAAUAAAAUGUGACCUUCUUUUAUCCUGUCUUUAUCC